GACGAACGCUGGCGGCGUGCCUAACACAUGCAAGUCGAACGAGUCCAGACUUCGGUCUGAGGCGAGUGGCGGACGGGUGAGUAACACGUGAGCAAUCUAUCCCUGUGCGGGGGACAACCC
rnacentral:rRNA from 1 species